rnacentral:lncRNA from 1 species
CAAAACGCUAAUAGAAGAAAAAAGGCAGUGGAGUCUUAAUAAUAGAAAAUUAGAAGAUAGAAAAAAAUCUAGUUACCUGGAUUGUGGAGGUAAUUCACUGUAAACCAGGAAAACAAGAUUUAGACAGAUGGGGUUUGUCCAUGUUGUCAGGCUGGUCUCCAACUGCUGGGUUCAAGCAAUCCACCUGCAGCGGACUCCCGAAGUUCUGGGAUUACUGGUGUAAGCUAUUACCCUUGGCCCAAAUUCUCCUGCUCUUCUUGACAUCCAUCUUCUCCUGUCUGACACUGGUUCCUCCGGUUCUCAGGCCUUGGGACUCAGAAUGAGUUAACCCGCUGGCUUUCCUGGGUCUUGACCUUGUGGAAGACGUAUCUGGAGACUUCUCAGCCUCCAGAAUCAGGAUGAAAGUUAGCUGGGAUGAUUUUAUCCUGGAAGCUCUAUCAUAUGCAAAACGAUGCCAAUAGAGGAAACACAGUGUGGCAAAGUGUAUGGACACGGGCAAAGGAUCCUGAGGUCAAAUGUAGGGAACCGCUGUAACAAAGAGAAACAUAAUUAGGUCUAAGAACUCAAUAGAAAGCUGGGAAUUUGUAAGACACCUUGGAGGGGUACUAAACCUCUGUAAAUAAAUGAAAUUAAAGUAAUUUACACUUUAAGUCAGUGAAUGCUGGGUAUUGGUAGUACUUAGUGGGCGAAAAUUAUGUACCUUCUGUGUGUGACUUCCCUUUAAUUGUAUAUUGUUUUGGGAUUUUUAAAGAAGUAUAUAGACAUGCUGAUAUGAUUUGUUAUAAUCAUAUAAAAUAACACAGGUUAACAGUGAUUCCUAGUGAAAAACAGAUUUCAAGGUAUAUAACUUUAAGAAUAUAUAUACAUACAGGCUAGUGGUCACACCGGAAAUGUCUGAAAACUUUUCCUAACUGAAUUCAGUGAUGGUUUCAAAUAUUUUAUUCUUAUAAUUAAGAAGAAUAUAUUGCACACAGAACAGAAAAAAGGAAAGUUUGUUUUUUAAUAGUUCAGUUGUCCGCAUUCAAACAUUUUGAUGCCUUUCGUUGUUAAUGGGGUUAGAACUGUGUCCAAUGCAUAAUUGUGGAAGCAUGAAUUAUGUAAUUUUAUAACAAAAGAUUAAUGAGACCUGUCAACUUCCUUUCCUAAGUAAACCUGCUAUUUUUUAGAACCCUUGAAAAAAACAUAUAGGAUAUUUGCCAAAUAUUUUACUCUUCCAUCUCCAGAUUAAAUAAUAUAUAUGGUUGAAACAAUAUUGCUAAAAGUUUUGACUGUUAAUUUUCUCCCCUUCCUUCUGAGGAUUUUUUAGAACACUAAGAAUCUAUGGUUGAAUUAAAAUUGACAAAACUUUGCCUUAUAAAGCUAAAUCAUUACUGUUUAGAGCAUAAAAAUAACAAAAUUCAAUGUGUUAACUAGUUGAUAAACAUUCAUUUUGCAAAAAUGGAUAUACAUUUGUCUAAAGCUCUCAAUUAUAUAAUAUGCCUCAAGCACA